rnacentral:misc_RNA from 1 species
UACAACUGCAGCCAACAAUCAGCUUCUGUCCAAUUCUCUACAUGCUCGCGCAGCAGAGUACGGAGUUGCAAUGCUGCAACUCGUCCUUCAAACACGCGAUAAUCUGGGCAAAGUGUGAGGAUUGCCUGUAUAUCACAUAUUGCUAAUUGGUAAUCCUCUAGAGCAAGGUAAAAACAAAAGCGGAGUUCCAAGCACUCCAAUGCCAGUUUGAAUCCAAGGAUUCUGUUUAUUUCUGAAAGAGCAGCUUGAGCAUUUUGCUUCCUCAUCAAGGAUGCAGCUCGAUACAUAUAGGGGUAUGUCAGUGUAGGAUCAAGCUCAGUUGCUUUUUCAAGGUCAUCCCACCUCUUUUCUCCUUCACAAUAUAGCGAGCUCUCUUGGUACAUCCAUCCAAGAGGAAUUGAGGAAGAAAUAACAGAACCGAGCUUCUCAUAUGCCCAGCGUUUAUG